rnacentral:rRNA from 1 species
UUUGGAUUCCCUGGCUCAGGGAUUGAAACGCUAGCCGCAGGGCCUAAUACAUGCAAGUCGAACGAUAGAUAAAGGCUUGCUCUUUAUCGAAAGUGGCGCACGGGUGCGUAACGCGUAUGCAACCUACCCUUAAUCAGGGGGAUAGCCCGGAGAAAUCCGGAUUAAUACCGCAUAAAAUCACAGCACUGCAUAGUGCAAUGAUCAAACAUUUAUGGGAUUGAGAUGGGCAUGCGUGUCAUUAGCUAGUUGGCGGGGUAACGGCCCACCAAGGCGACGAUGACUAGGGGAUCUGAGAGGAUGACCCCCCACACUGGUACUGAGACACGGACCAGACUCCUACGGGAGGCAGCAGUAAGGAAUAUUGGUCAAUGGAGGCAACUCUGAACCAGCCAUGCCGCGUGCAGGAAGACUGCCCUAUGGGUUGUAAACUGCUUUUAUCCGGGAAUAAACCUC